rnacentral:rRNA from 1 species
CAUUACCGAGUGAGGGCCCUCUGGGUCCAACCUCCCACCCGUGUCUAUCGUACCUUGUUGCUUCGGCGGGCCCGCCGUUUCGACGGCCGCCGGGGAGGCCCUGCGCCCCCGGGCCCGCGCCCGCCGAAGACCCCAACAUGAACGCUGUUCUGAAAGUAUGCAGUCUGAGUUGAUUAUCGUAAUCAGUUAAAACUUUCAACAACGGAUCUCUUGGUUCCGGCAUCGAUGAAGAACGCAGCGAAAUGCGAUAAGUAAUGUGAAUUGCAGAAUUCAGUGAAUCAUCGAGUCUUUGAACGCACAUUGCGCCCCCUGGUAUUCCGGGGGGCAUGCCUGUCCGAGCGUCAUUGCUGCCCUCAAGCACGGCUUGUGUGUUGGGCCCCCGUCCCCCUCUCCCGGGGGACGGGCCCGAAAGGCAGCGGCGGCACCGCGUCCGGUCCUCGAGCGUAUGGGGCUUUGUCACCUGCUCUGUAGGCCCGGCCGGCGCCAGCCGACACCCAACUUUAUUUUUCUAAGGUUGACCUCGGAUCAGGUAGGGAUACCCGCUGAACUUAAGCAUAUCAAUA